rnacentral:rRNA from 1 species
GAUGAACGCUGGCGGCGUGCCUAAUACAUGCAAGUCGAGCGAACAGAUGAGGAGCUUGCUCCUCUGACGUUAGCGGCGGACGGGUGAGUAACACGUGGAUAACCUACCUAUAAGACUGGGAUAACUUCGGGCAACCGGAGCUAAUACCGGAUAAUAUAUUGAACCGCAUGGUUCAAUAGUGAAAGACGGUUUUGCUGUCACUUAUAGAUGGAUCCGCGCCGCAUUAGCUAGUUGGUAAGGUAACGGCUUACCAAGGCAACGAUGCGUAGCCGACCUGAGAGGGUGAUCGGCCACACUGGAACUGAGACACGGUCCAGACUCCUACGGGAGGCAGCAGUAGGGAAUCUUCCGCAAUGGGCGAAAGCCUGACGGAGCAACGCCGCGUGAGUGAUGAAGGUCUUCGGAUCGUAAAACUCUGUUAUUAGGGAAGAACAAAUGUGUAAGUAACUAUGCACGUCUUGACGGUACCUAAUCAGAAAGCCACGGCUAACUACGUG